CAGAGAUACUGACUGUUAUCAGGUUAGCUAGGAGACACUAUGAGGGAGACAGAGAUACUGACUGUAAUCAGGUUAGCUAGGAGACACUAUGAGGGAGACAGAGACACUGACUGUUAUCAGGUUAGCUAGGAGACACUAUGAGGGAGACAGAGAUACUGACUGUUAUCAGGUUAGCUAGGAGACACUAUGAGGGAGACAGAGACACUGACUGUUAUCAGGUUAGCUAGGAGACACUAUGAGGGAGACAGAGACACUGACUGUUAUCAGGUUAGCUAGGAGACACUAUGAGGGAGACAGAGACAGACAGAGAGACCGAGACCAACAGAGAGACAGAGACAAACAAAUUAAAUCUUCUUUCCCUACUAGCACUGAUGUUGCUGAUAGUCGGUUUAUUUUGUCUUCAAUAAAGUAGCGAUGACUGAGAUGUGUUUGUCCCACCGAGCGAUCUGAAGAUACAGUCUCUGGAUAAGAGUCUGCUAAAUGACUCCCUACUGUAA